rnacentral:lncRNA from 1 species
CCCCAGCUGGAGCCGGAGUCGGAGCCGGCGAGAUCGCCCUCCAUGCUGCGGGAGCUGCGGCCGCCUUCCGCUCAGCCUCUGGUCCCAGGCGAGCCUGGCGAGCCGGCGAAGCACCGGCGGGGAGGAGGACUAGAACAGGAGGAGGGGCACGGCGGAUUGAAGCGAGCUGGGCUGUGAGCAAGGGACACCCACAGCCUGGAGAAACAGCCCCGCUCUCUUGCGCGCUGUCUGCUCCAGCCGCUACUGGG